AUACCUUUCUCGGCCUUUUGGCUAAGAUCAAGUGUAGUAUCUGUUCUUAUCAGUAUAAUAUCUGAUACGUGGGCCAAUGGCCCACACGAUAUUAAAUUAAUUUUUUUAGGGGAAGGGUCCAUCACAGUAGCUUGCUAUUGGGGUCCUUGUACGUCGCCUUGGCCUUGCACUAUUGCCUUGGCCUGGCGCACCCCAC